rnacentral:rRNA from 1 species
GAUCAUGGCUCAGGAUGAACGCUAGCUACAGGCUUAACACAUGCAAGUCGAGGGGCAGCAUGGUCUUAGCUUGCUAAGGCCGAUGGCGACCGGCGCACGGGUGAGUAACGCGUAUCCAACCUGCCUUACACUCUUGGACAGCCUUCUGAAAGGGAGAUUAAUACAAGAUGUUAUCAUGAGUAAGCAUUUUCGUCAUGAUUAAAAGGUUUUAACCGGGUUCGGUAAGAAUGGGGAGGUGCGUU